GCGACGCCGCGUGAGCGAUGAAGCGCCUUCGGGGUGUAAAGCUCUUUCGACACGGAACGAUAAUGACGGUACCUGGAGAAGAAGCUGCGGCUAACUACGUGCCAGCAGCCGCGGUAAUACGUAGGCAGCAAGCGUUGUUCGGAAUUACUGGGCGUAAAGCGUGCGUAGGCGGUGGCUCAAGUUUGGUGUGAAAUCUCCCGGCUCAACUGGGAGGGUGCGCCGAAAACUGAGUUGCUCGAGUGUGGGAGAGGUAGGCGGAAUUCCUGGUGUAGCGGUGAAAUGCGUAGAUAUCAGGAGGAACACCGGCGGUGUAGACGGCUUACUGGACCAUAACUGACGCUGAGGCACGAAAGUGUGGGGAGCAAACAGGAUUAGAUACCCUGGUAGUCCACACCCUAAACGAUGCAUACUUGGUGUGAGCCAUUCAUUUGGUUCGUGCCGGAGCUAACGCGUUAAGUAUGCCGCCUGGGGAGUACGGUCGCAAGGCUGAAACU
rnacentral:rRNA from 1 species